GACGAACGCUGGCGGCGUGCCUAAUACAUGCAAGUCGAGCGCAGGAAAUCGACGGAACCCUUCGGGGGGAAGUCGACGGAAUGAGCGGCGGACGGGUGAGUAACACGUAAAGAACCUGCCCUCAGGUCUGGGAUAACCACGAGAAAUCGGAGCUAAUACCGGAUGGGUCAUCGGACCGCAUGGUCCGAGGAUGAAAGGCGCUUCGGCGUCGCCUGGGGAUGGCUUUGCGGUGCAUUAGCUAGUUGGUGGGGUAAUGGCCCACCAAGGCGACGAGGCAUAGCCGACCUGAGAGGGUGAACGGCCACACUGGGACUGAGACACGGCCCAGACUCCUACGGGAGGCAGCAGUAGGGAAUCUUCCACAAUGGACGAAAGUCUGAUGGAGCAACGCCGCGUGAACGAUGAAGGCCUUCGGGUCGUAAAGUUCUGUUGUAAGGGAAGAACAAGUGCCGCAGGCAAUGGCGGCACCUUGACGGUACCUUGCGAGAAAGCCACGGCUAACUACGUGCCAGCCGCCGCCGUAA
rnacentral:rRNA from 1 species